rnacentral:lncRNA from 1 species
CCCCCUUAUCUGUGCUAUCAAGCCCUUUAAAGGAACUUGCAGUCAGGUGCUUGUGAAGUUAAAUUCUAUCUUAAACCACCUCUCAAAUCCUUGCCUUCAAUUAUGUAGCGUUUUCACCAAACAUAGACAUUUUCUAAAGAGACUGCUCUCGAAGAUCUGACCCUCACGAUGCUGGCUCAGAAUAAAAAGCCUUCAUUAUCUGUGAUUGCAACCUAACAAAGACUAAAAGGGCUUUGUUUUGUGAGCCAGGGCUGAUAUUGAUCUGCAGCUAGGUAGGCAGCUGUGAUUGUGGAGUGGAGCUGGACUGACCUGAGCAUAUCAGGAAUCAAGGUAAGACCCAAGUGCAGACUGUGUGAAGUAACAAUGUUUAUUGUAACAGGGGCAGGCAAACGACAGGUCAAGGCAGGCAGAGGUCGAUAAUCCAGAGUAGAGGCCAAGGUACAGGACGGCAGGCAGGGUCAGGGUCAGGUCAGGCAGGGGUCGAUAAUCCAGAGUAGAGGCCAAGGACGGCAGUCAGGGUCAGGCAGAGUGGUCAGGUGGGUGGGUACAGGGUCAGGACAGGCAAGGGUCAAAAACCAGGAGGAUGAGAAAAAGAGAGACUGGGGAAAAACAGGAGCAGAGACAAACACUGGUUGACUUGAACAAACAAGACAAACUGGCACAGACAGACAGAAAACACAGGUAUAAAUACCCAGAGGAUAAGUGGGGAAGAUGGGUGACACCUGGAGGGGGUGGAGACAAGUACAAGGACAGGUGAAACAGAUCAGAGCGUAACAGAGCGAAGCAAAGAGUGCUCAGUAUAAGGCCAGGGGUAGCCUUAGUUAUAAUCACUAACAGAACCUGUGGCUGCAGAUGGAGAACUAGGGCACCUGCUCUUUCUGUGCAUGGCCAAUGAUAAUCGAAAGACAGAUGGUCUUGGCAUAAGCUGAUUUAAAAGCUCCUCACUCACUGUCUUGAAGAAGGAUGUAAGCUGGUGUCUAUUUCCAACCUGUUUGAAGGCUGUAUGCUGGUGUCUAUUUCCAAC